AUGGUGGGAGCGAGCGGUGAGUUGCGGCAUCACCGAGGAGUGCUCGCCGGAGGAUGGUGGCGGAUCUGGCUUCGGUUCCGACGACAUAGAGAGGCGAGCACGGUUGGGUGGUUAACGGAGGCAUCUGUUUUUCCGAGUGUGGAGGGCGAUUUGUGCGAUGGUGGAACGUUAGUGUGUGCGCGUCAGAGGCGUGGUGCUGCGGUGGUUCUCUGGAUCAGAAACGAGUUACGCCAUGGUUGCCGGAUUUGUGGUGUCGAGCAGCGACUUCGAGUAAUACAGAGGUUGUGGCGGCUCCGAUGGAGUUGUUGUUGGAUGGCGGAAGUGUACAGGACUAUUUCAUCCGUCAAUUCGCGGUGCUAG